rnacentral:rRNA from 1 species
CACGUAGGGCGCAAGCGUUGUCCGGAAUUAUUGGGCGUAAAGAGCUCGUAGGCGGUCUGUUACGUCUGCUGUGAAAACCCGGGGCUUAACCCUGGGCUUGCAGUGGAUACGGGUAGACUAGAGGCAGGUAGGGGAGAAUGGAAUUCCCGGUGUAGCAGUGAAAUGCGUGGAUAUCGAUAGGAACACUCGUGGCGAAGGCGAGCUACUGGACAACAUCUGACGCUGAGGCUCGAAGGCUAGGGGAGCAAAAGGG